CAAUGAUCUAAUCAUAGUGCAGUAGAAACAUGGCAGUUUGAGAAACCAUGGUGGAGACAGCGGCUGAAAUGGAAGCGUAUGUGCUAGAAGACAUUCUGGAGGUCCCGGGAGAUGACUCAGCCUGUGAAGGGAAAUGGCUGCCCAAACUGACAGUCUGAAUUUGAUCCUUGGGACCUGCUUGAUGGAAGAAGGACAGAAUUGAUUCCCACCAGCAGUCAUCUGAUCUCUUCUUCACUUGUGUGCCAUGGGUGCAUUCGAGUAUGUGUGCACGUAAACUUCAGACAUAGAAACUAACAUAUAAAUGAUGUUACUAUUCUCUAAAAAUUGAAAAAUUAGCAAGCUGUAUUAUGCUGUUAUAGUAUCUGAUACGGUUUUCAGAAUCUAAUUUUACCUGAAAGUCUGAAUUUAAUAAUUAACAAAGAAUGUGAAUAGUCUUUCUUGAAAUGACAUUCUUGUUUUGUUCAUUUUGAGAGAAUGUCUGCCACUAAAUCUGAAUAAAAAAUAUUUUAAGAAAUGA